AUUGAACGCUGGCGGCAUGCCUUACACAUGCAAGUCGAACGGCAGCACGGGUGCUUGCCCCUGGUGGCGAGUGGCGAACGGGUGAGUAAUACAUCGGAACAUGUCCUGUAGUGGGGGAUAGCCCGGCGAAAGCCGGAUUAAUACCGCAUACGAUCUACGGAUGAAAGCGGGGGCCCUUCGGGCCUCGCGCUUUGGGGUUGGCCGAUGGCUGAUUAGCUAGUUGGUGGGGUAAAGGCCUACCAAGGCGACGAUCAGUAGCUGGUCUGAGAGGACGACCAGCCACACUGGGACUGAGACACGGCCCAGACUCCUACGGGAGGCAGCAGUGGGGAAUUUUGGACAAUGGGCGAAAGCCUGAUCCAGCAAUGCCGCGUGUGUGAAGAAGGCCUUCGGGUUGUAAAGCACUUUUGUCCGGAAAGAAAUACUUGGCCCUAAUACGGUCGGGGGAUGACGGUACCGGAAGAAUAAGCACCGGCUAACUACGUG
rnacentral:rRNA from 1 species